AAAAAAAAAAGAAGAAGAAGACAAAUGCCCUGAUGGAAAUGUCAAAGGCGGUUACAGCCAAGAGGAGAGAUCUCUCUGUUCUAGGCCUCAGAUGCUGUCUGAUGAGACUCAGCCUUUUGCCUGAUGGAAGCUGGUGGUCUGCUUAGUGAAUACAUCCCCAAAGGUUUUUAUUCUUAGUCCCAAGAUAACACAGAGGUCACAUUUUCAGACUCGGCUAUUUUCUAGCGUGCUAGUCGCUAUGAGACGCUCUCACAGGCAAAGUGACAUUUGUCGUACUCCCAGUGAAGCUGACUCCCUGGCUUUAUACAUUUGCAAUUCCUUUGGUGAAUAACACAUCAAAAAGCCAGCCAGCUCCCCUUCUACACCUGGACCAUGACUCAUUGAAAUGCUGGAGACUCUAGGCCUCUGGUGCCCCGUGGAUAAAUGAGACCAGCAAAGAAUUCCAGAGAAUCGAGAGUGAAUUCUUCAAGAACCCAUGUGAAAAAUCCAGGUGUCGUGGUGUACCUUUGCAAUCCCAGCGCUGGAGACAGGUGGAUCCCUGGGGCUCACUUGUCAGCCAACCUACCCCGUCACGAAAACCAAGAUGGACGGCUUCCUGAGGAGCAACCUCUGGCCUCCACACACAGGUUGUUUGUUAAAAAAACGGUGUGAGAUCGCACAGAGCUGACCCUGAGAUGCCUCAGCCUGCAGUUGGAAAGGGGACUCUACGUCAAGACCCACAGGCCUGGAAACAGGCUAAUGACUUGUGCAAUUCUACGUGGAGUGAUUGGUUACCCAGCAGUAGCUCACUCAUGAGCAAAUCUUGAUCUCUACUUUCUCCAGUAGCUUUUUACCCCAGGUAAACCUGGUGGAGAAACACACAGGUUGUAACAUGAAUGUUAUAAUGGGCAGACACGUAUUUAUCAGUCUAUGCAUUUCAAAUCUAAUUAAAGGGCUAGAAACUAUUUAAAAAAAUCUCAAUUCUAAUUACUGAUAAUGAAAAUUGAUGAAUGAGGUGAAAUAUAUAAUAGUUAAGUGAGUACACACACACACACACACACACACACACACACACACACACACACACACGAUGGAAUUGAAGAGAAUAAACUUGAACACAUAAAGACAUACAUCUUCCAACAUGAAAGACAAGAAAGUUUAUAGUCAGAGAUGCAUGGAAGUAAAUUCUGCAACCAUUCCAGAGAGAGACUCAGAAGAAAUGGAAAUUGGGAUGUUUGAAAAAAAUAAUACCCAAAAAAUGUUCCACUUGAAUGAAAAUAAUAAAUUCCAAAUCUAAAAAGACUAAUGUACUUGAAGUUCAAAAAGCAUGAAAUCUUUAUGAGGCUCAUCAUAAUGAAGUCUGAACCAGCCAUAAAAAAGAAAAAACAUGGAAUCAACUGGCUGGUGUCCUCAUGUAUGUUCCCCUGGACAGAGUGACAGCAGAUUUAUCACUGAAAUAUUGCAAACAAAAAAGCACUGAAACCAAAUCCAACAGUACUGAAAGCUACAAAGUAAACCAAAUAAACUUGGCACACAGAAUUCUACCCAGUCAAUGUCUCCCCCAAACUAACACACUAUAAACUAUUCCAGGCGUACAAACUAAUUUAUAAACAGAAGGCAUUGCUACAAGAUUUAUUUUUUGAGUUCAUUUUUUUCUGAUUUUUUUGUUAAUUAAAAAUAAUUAUAUUUAUGGGACAUUGUGUUAUGUUUUUGUCUGUAUUUACCAUGGAAAAAUAAUUAAAUCAGAUGGAUAAACAAGUGCAUGACAUUGACGUCAUAUACUGAAGUGUUUGUGGUAGAUGGAGAGAAGUCUCAGCCAUGAAGAGUGCUAGCUGCUCUUUCCAGAGGACCUGAGUUCAAUUUUCAGAAUCCACAUCAGGUGGCUCACCAUUCCAUCUCAAGGGCAUCUGAAUCCCAGCCCUCCUCUCCUCUCUUUGAGCAUCCCCCUUCCCACUGUGCACGGACACACACACACACACACACACACACACACACACAAUUAAAAAUAAAAUAAACCUUUAAAAUAAAAAGAAACUGAUAAAAUUCUACUAAGACUUGUAAUUUAUAAUAACAUACUGAUGUUGAUGUUUGUGUUGAUCGUUACAUCUUGGUUGUGUUAGGUGAGACACAGAUGGAACUGUCUUACAUUUUGAGGCUAAAUCUGAAGUUAUCUUAUUAUAAAGCAGAAGAGGACGAAGCAAGUGUGGCAGGUAACCAAGGUCGCUCUAGGGCAUAGCACAGAGGAAUCUUGCGGAUUGUGGAUGUAACAACUGUUUCCAUAGAAUGGUGAUUUAAGUAAGAAUGUCCCCAGUAACAACCCUUUCCCAAGAAUGGUGGAGUGUCUCCCCAGUUGGCUCCGGUGUUUGAACACUUGGUUCCUAGCAGGUGGUGCUGUUCGAGGAGGUUCUGGAACCUUUAACAGAUGCAACCUGGCUGGAGGUAGUAUGUCACUGGGGGCGGGCUUUGAGGGCUUAUAGCUUCACCCCACUUCCUGUUUUCUCAGCGUACUAUGUGUGGUCAUGAAAACGUCAUCUCUCUGCUUCCCGUCUGUCGGAUCAGCUUCAUGCUCCUGCCGCUCUUCCUUCCCCGUCAGGAUGGACUGUGUCUCUCUGGAACUGUGGACUACAAUAGACCCUUUCUUCCUAAGAUUUCUUUUUAAAAUCAGGGUGUUUUAUCACAACAACAGAAAGGAAACUCAUAAACCUGGAUAGUUAAUAACACAUUCACACUUGAAGGAUGAAUAGGCACUAUCCAGAGCGCCACGCACUAACACUAUAUCAUUCACUAAACUCAGAAUGGAUGGGCACACACUAAUUUUAACGCCAUCUGAGGGAAACAGACAAGUCUCAUGACUCUUUCUCAAGAGUCUCUCUCAAACAUGACUACUACCAAUAAAACAGUAAUUUAAUUUUUUAUUUUUGUGUGUUGAUGACUGAACCCCAAACCCUCACACAUGAUAGGCAAAUGUUGUACCUCUGAGCUACACUCUGAUCCCAGGACACUUUCUCUUCAAGAGAGGUUGGUCUGUCUCAUACCAGCAUCCUACAUCAAGCAUCCCUUUGUGACAACGAUUGUUUGGGGGCAGCCUCCAUCUUCUUUCCCAAGACCUCAAAGCCUUUGUUAAUAACUAACCAGGGUUAGAGUUGAAUCUGUGUUGCAGGUUUGAAUUUUCCUUUGAAAACUCAUUUCUACAUUGCUUCUCGUGUGAUUGAAAUUUUUUACUUUAUGUGGAUGUUUCACCCCACCUAUUUCAAAUAACUAAACUAUUGUGAUGAGCUAAGUUAAACUUCCACCUGAUAGCUUCCUGUUAUCUCCUGACCAGAACAGUUCGGUCACAUCCAAGUUGGGUAAUAAGCAAGUUUUUUGUUAACAGAAUAUUAUUUAAAUGCAUGAUAAUAGCCUGCUAAUAUUAACAUUGUAGUCUGGGUAACAGCAUCAA